AUUGAACGCUGGCGGCAUGCUUUACACAUGCAAGUCGAACGGUAACAGGUCUUCGGAUGCUGACGGGUGGCGAACGGGUGAGUAAUACAUCGGAACGUGCCUAGUAGUGGGGGAUAACUACUCGAAAGAGUGGCUAAUACCGCAUGAGAUCUACGGAUGAAAGCAGGGGAUCGCAAGACCUUGUGCUACUAGAGCGGCCGAUGGCAGAUUAGGUAGUUGGUGGGAUAAAAGCUUACCAAGCCGACGAUCUGUAGCUGGUCUGAGAGGACGAUCAGCCACACUGGGACUGAGACACGGCCCAGACUCCUACGGGAGGCAGCAGUGGGGAAUUUUGGACAAUGGGCUCAAGCCUGAUCCAGCAAUGCCGCGUGCAGGAUGAAGGCCUUCGGGUUGUAAACUGCUUUUGUACGGAACGAAAAGCCCUGGGUUAAUACCCUGGGGUCAUGACGGUACCGUAAGAAUAAGCACCGGCUAACUACGUGCCAGCAGCCGCGGUAAAAC
rnacentral:rRNA from 1 species